UACGGAGGGUGCAAGCGUUUAUCCGGAUUCACUGGGUUUAAAGGGUGUGUAGGCGGGUAGUUAAGUCAGUGGUGAAAUCUCCAGGCUCAACCUGGAAACUGCCAUUGAUACUAUCUAUCUUGAAUAUUGUUGAGGUAGGCGGAAUAAGUCAUGUAGCGGUGAAAUGCAUAGAUAUGACUUAGAACACCAAUUGCGAAGGCAGCUUACUAAACAGUUAUUGACGCUGAGGCACGAAAGCGUGGGGAUCAAACAGG
rnacentral:rRNA from 1 species